rnacentral:rRNA from 1 species
GACGUAGGGCGCAAGCGUUGUCCGGAUUUAUUGGGCGUAAAGAGCUCGUAGGCGGCUUGUUGCGUCGUCCGUGAAAACCUGUGGCUCAACUACAGGCUUGCGGUCGAUACGGGCGGGCUGGAGUUCGGUAGGGGAGACUGGAAUUCCUGGUGUAGCGGUGAAAUGCGCAGAUAUCUGGAGGAACACCGGUGGCGAAGGCGGCAUCCUGGACCAACACUGACGCUGAGUGAGCGAAAGCCAGGGGAGCAAACGGG